CAGAAUAGCAGGGAUGUAACAGGUUAUCAUUUCUUCUUUUAAAGACCUCAAAAAUAAAACAAGAGACCCAAAUUCUCAAUUUGGAAAAUUCUCCUGUGACGUCAGCGCUCAGAGGCUUCGGAGGUGAUAAUUCCUGAGCCGAAGGUGAACCUGAAGAACCCCGACAAAACUUCUCACCCUCACUUGUUGGAAAUUCCAUCUAUUUAAUGCUGUGGUUUGGGAGUCUGUUUUAGGAAAACCUAAAAAUAAACUGGUCAAAACUUGCUUUAAUUAGUGAGCAUCAGUGAGGAUUUUGACAUAACUCCUAGCUGAUCAUGAACUUUUCCACUCUUUAGGUACUCUAAAGCUGUCUGGAGCCAGGAAAUAUCUGUCUACGGAAACUAAUCCUGGUUACAUGACAACACAAAUGUCCCGGCGACUUCACAUCAGCCGUUGCUAUGGCGUCUGUGUUUUAGGACGGUACUUCCUGAGGAUUAGAGCGCUGUUUCUGAUGAGUUCUGCCUGUCUCUUCAGACUUCCAGGGAGCCAUAGGAACCAUGAGUGAUGAAAUCAGAGGGCCAUGCUGAGCCCACUCCACUCUUCGAUGGCCCUGGGGAAGCUGGCCCUGUCCCUCACUGGACAUUGCAGCAAGAGAGCUGGCCCCAACCCUCACUGGAGAGCUGGGCCCCCCACACUCAAGAGGAAUGGCCCUGCCCCUCACCAUGGGCAAGGGAGAACUGACCCUGAAGACAUGGGCUUAUGGGAGCUGGCUCUGCCCUGUGCCUGAGGGAGAUGGCCCCAGUGGCCCAGAUUGGCCAGCUCAGCUAUUACUCAGUCCCACAGCUGGGUCUUGGGUUGGUCCACCCUAACAUCUACCCCAACUAGGACCUGCUGUGGAACCAUACCCACAGGAUCUCCAUGAAUUGGGGCGGCCAAGAUAUCCGAGAGGAGUUUCAGUGAGGAUCCAGGAAUGAUGAUGUAUCAGAAACCAGAGGCCUUGAGCCAAACCAAUGCCAGGAUACCUUUCCACUGAAGCUGUAAUGCUUACAAAAGAUAGUGAUGAAGAAAAUGAGUUUAAGGAGCAGAGUCUGGACACCCAGCCAGUCAGUGAUGGGACUGGCAUUUAAUUGAACCCUGACAGUCUGGCUCCAAAGCCCACAUCCCUCAUUUUGCACACAGACAUACUUUCUCCUUUACAAGGGGAACCUGGAAAGCACAUCGACUUCAUGAAUUUAAUUAAACCACGUUUCAUGGGCAAAAAAAAGGAGAUGUUGGUGUUGAUAAAUGAAAGAAUAUGGAAUUUUCUAUGAGUUACCUUGAAUUUCCGCUCUCAAGGCUCCUUGAAAGACAUCAAUCUCUGCCUGAGUCCGUUAAGUGAGCAAGAGACUCGGGGUUCAAGCUGAAGAGCCUGCCCCAGAGUUUUCAUGCCUUUGACAGUCCCUGCAGGCCUGAGUCCAAGUCUUUGUGAGGGAAGAGGAGAUGUGUGACUCAGCCUGGCCCUCUGGCAUCUCCAUUAUCCAAUUGGUAACCACCUUCCUUUCCCAGCCUUGUAGCUCUCCUGAAACUCACAUGUACCUUGCUGUAUUCCCCAGUGUUCAAAUGCAUCCUACUCCUCCAACUCUGGGCUCUAAUUUUCCU